rnacentral:lncRNA from 1 species
CCAUAGGCCAUGUUGUCUUUCCCACACAUUCUGCACACAUGAGUGCCCACACAUUCCAUGCCACGUCUCAUCUACCACCUUCUGACCAAAGAGAACCUGUAACUAGUGUUUCAGCCUCACCUUCCCAAGAAACCAACUGCCCAACAGGAUUCUUCCAUCCACAGUCCCGAUGAGGCCUGCCUGACAGGAGGAAGUAUUCCCAGAAUACUCCUGGCUUCUUCUCAUUGGUCACCAUUCGUUAGUCAUGUUUACUUUAAUGAGUUACCUGUUCAUCAGGCCCGUUCCAUCACUAACCCUCUAGAUGGGUCUGUAGGGUGACAUUCCCUGCCAUCUCCUUUCCGAUAAGGACCAGGUAAUGUCCAGGAAUCAAGGAGAGCCGUUUGCAGCCUGGCUGGCAGGCAGGCAGCUGCUGCGUCCUCUUCUCCAGUGAGUGCGUCCACACAGAGCGGCCCUUCCUGCAGCAGUGACAGACUCAUAGCUGUAUUCCGGUUCAGAAGACUCUCGCUUUCACGAGAGCUCAGGGAGGCAGUGUAGGUUCUAGUGAGUAUGGAUUUGUGCAGGUUUUCAGUUUCACUCGCACCCGAAGCCGUGGGCGAUCAAACAUCCUGUAUAGACUUUUGAAGUCUAAAUAGAGUGACAUUUUAAACAGCAAUACUCCCUAAAGUAGUCAUCUUGUUUGGGGUUUGGCUUGACUAUCUUAUUUCUCUCUGAUUUAAGUAGUAGGUCCCUCCUAUGGAAACCAGAGCAUCACUAAGGAAAACUGUGGGAGUCAAGCAUCAUGCAAGGGACGGGAAGCAGCAACAGACCCCUGCCCCUCACAUUCCGCCAUCAGAAUCAGAGGUGGGCCCUGCUGAGUGACUGGCGUUGCUUGUCAUGGGAAUUGAAAGUCUCUUAAUCACGGGGCUCUUCCGUCUGAAGCUGGAGUCUUCCAGCUUGUUGGGACUUUGAGUCUAGGCACCCUGAGUGUAUCGCUCUAGUUGAAGAAAUAACGAUCCAAGAGUCAAGCGGUCCAGGAUUCCGUCCGCAGCCGCCAUUUGCUGAGUACCUGAUGGUACCUCCUUUUCCUCGCUUCUAUCUUCCGGUCUUUGCCUAGAGCUGCUUGUUCUCUGUUGGCUCAUCUGAGGGGCAGAUUGCCCAUCCCUCAGGAACAGUAAGCAGUCGGGGUGAAGGUUGGGGCAGGAGAGUCACUGCCUGCUAGAAGGAGCUUUAACCACCAACCUUUUGAUCUUGUCUGUCACCCUAACCCUGAGUGAAAUGAAGCUAUUGUGUUGCUCUCCUGUUAGAUUCAGUAGGCUGCUGUGAUCAUGGUAGGGCUCAGUUAUGGAUGCAGACCUGGGGAGACAGUCUUUCACUUCAGUCUUCAGGAACGGUCAUCGUGCUAAAGACCACUCUCCUUGUUCACCAAGCAAGGUGAAGCCUACAGUCCCCGCAGUCUUGAACCAGAAGGCAGGAGUGAGCAGUUGACCCCUUCCUGUAGACUGAAAGGGAUGGCGUUAGAGGGAAGAAGGGGGUUAGUGGUUCUGACAUAAACUGCAUAUGCAAUAACUUCUUGUGGCUAUGGAUAAACCUGGCCCUUUGUAGAGAUCCUGGCCUGCUUGCUGGAUCCUGGUGCCCACCCUACCCCACCACUGCCAAAGUCUAACAGACUAUGCAUGGAGCGGGAAAGAGAGAGGAAAGCUGGUAGGAAUGGGGCAAUGCUCAGCUCUCACCAAUGUCUGGGUCAAAAUGAGGAAGAUGAGCUCGACUAACAAGAUUCUGGGUGACACAAGGCUUGUCAACCUGUGUCUUGCCCCCUUGUGCUCUGUCAGGAGCCACAGCUCCUGGGCUCCUUAAGGUGGAAUUGGGUGACCGGUGAAUACUUGGCCCCCUACAUAGCAAUGUUAGGCAAUCGGGAUUUAUAGAAACUCAUGUUAAAGCCAAAGACCGUGUUUGGACAUGUAAAGUCUGCUGGCUUAGUCACUGCCUCAUCCUGCUGUGUGAGCAGUUCUGUCCCUAUGGGUGAAUUACAUGACAUCCCAAGGCCACUGCAGGCUCAAGACACCUGAUUUCUCUGCUAUUCCAUUUCUGUGGAAUCUAAGCCCAAGCUCUAUCUAUACCCAUCGAGCCUAGCACUGAUGGUAGAACCCUGGGGACACAGACCUCAAGACUCCACUGGCAAUGUAUUGACUGUUAUGAAAGGACUCUAAAGCUGUCACCUAAAACACAACAUUCCCUUCUCCCUGUGAUUUUUUUCCCCCUCCUCUCCUGAAGACAGUGCAUUCUGACCAGCGCUGUCUAACCUUCCUCAGCUUGCUGCUGACACCACCCGUGUGGGGCUGUAGAGAGGGCUGAGGUCUGUGGCUUGUUAUAUGGAUUUGAGAGGAGGGUGCAGCAUUUAGCUUUCCUGCAUCACUGUGAGGGAGCCGCAGGUUCCUUUCCCAGAGGAAAAUAAUCGUUGCCCAGAAGACAGAGGCCAUACUAGGAAGUCCUGGUGCAAACCUGCUCUCAACGAAAGUAAUAAUUUUGUAUGCACAGAACUCCCUUACCAGUCCUAGUACCACAUCUUAGGUUUUUAACGUCCACAACCACUGGCCUUUGUGAACUAGUGGCCGGGAUCUUCCGUUGGUUUCAGGAGCAGUCCAUCAUCCCUGGGAACACCAGGACUGGAGGGAGCAGGGGGCGGCGGGCAGAGGGGAGCAUUCAGUUUGCUGACACCAUCAAAUACAUAGGCUUCUUAGCAAAGAUGAUGCACAAGGCCGUGCUGCCUCCACUUUUAACUGCUGACCCCAGUCCUUCCUGGGGUUCCUAUCUCCAUCCUGACGCUGGUUGAAUCUUCUCUACCAAAAUCCUCCUCGUAAAAGGAUCCAUGAUGACAACUAAGAGGAAAAGAAGUAUUUUUGUUAGGAUGAACCAUCAUAGAUUUUUAGCGAUGUGUAUCUGUGUGUCCUUUACGCCUUUUCCUAUUCUGACAUUUUUUCCCCUUUUUUUUUAAAAAAAAAAUAUUGUGUACUAUAUUUUUAGUCUCAAACACACACUAUAUAUUAUAUAUUUAAUUUUAUAUAUAUAUAAAUAUAAAUGUUUUAAAAAGUA